UCUUGCACAAAUAUCCAAAAUAAGCAUAAGAACCGAAAAUGAUAAUCUAAAAGUCUCACAACUCCAUCAUACUCAUCACCCCCAAGAAAAAAAAAAAACUUGCAACGACCGAAACAAAAACAAACAAGCUCUUAACGGUAACUCUUCUAGAAACGAGAACUAGCACCACGACCACCAAACUUCUUAGGCUCGCACCUCCUCGGAUCCGCCACAAACAGUGUCCUGUCAUAACGAAUAAGGAUAUCCUUCACCUCCUUCUUCGACUGCUCAUCAACGUAAUUCUGGUAGAAAGCAACGAGGGCCUUGGCGAUACUCUGACGGAUGGCGUAUACCUGGGAUGUGUGUCCACACACCUGCGAAACGGUGUUUUCCGAGGAGGAGGACUGGCUCGAAGAUCUUGAAUCGGAGAUGAAAUAAUUUGAACACUUUUCAGUUGAUACCAUAUACGGGGUUUGUGUUUGUGAAUGUUAAUGUCCGUCAACGUCCGCUGUAACUAUGUUUCGAGCUGAAGCAACGGAACGUGUGAGUUUGAGUAGGCCUUUUCGGAGUGGCCCCCAAUAUGUGUAGGAGAGAGUUAGGACUUCUAGCCAAAGUUGACAUCAAAUCCAGCGCUUGCAAGCAACUGCUUUACUUAAUCACCACUGAAUGAACACGCAAUGUGAAGACAAGAUGACUGAGGUUUGGAGAAUCAAAGAGAAGACUGGAUCAGAAACAGAACAUGUUUCUGAGACAGAGAAACAAAGAGAUUCAGUCACUCAAACAGUGGGCCUUGAGUUGGAGAAGAUGCCAAAAGCUGAGACAAGCUUUACCAAGAAUGAGAUGGGGCCACAAGACAUAAGUGCAAAGCCCAUACAGAUGAAUAAACAAGCAACGGUCAUAUUAAAUCUUCAAGACAAAAGAGAAGUAAAAGACAAAGGAAGUGGUCCUGAGUUGUACGGAUUGCGAGAGCCAAUAAUGUUGAAGAACCAGCUACUAGAAUCCAAUGCAGAGACAAAGACCUAAUUGACAGCAAGGCAUUCAUCUAGGGCUUUCACACUUAUGUAUAAAUAUCUCUCUUACAACAAUGUUAAAAUGAGAGAAUUAUAAAGAGUUUAUUUCUGGAGAAUGAAAAACAUGAAGAACAUGAGAGAAAGGAAAAAUAUGAGAGAGAUGUAGAUUUCAAAAUGUAAGAGAGAGAAGGAGAGAAUAGUUUCCUUGAUUUUAAUUGUAGAUCUGGAUACAACUAUUUAAAGGCAAGUUG